AACUGAAUAAGUGCAGUUAGUAUCAUUUUACCAAUAACUUCAUAAUUUGAACUGUUGAUAUGGCAGUAGAAUAGGCACUUUCUGAGUAGCUGCAGUGUGUUGGUGUGUUGGGCUGUAGAGUUUUGCACUUCUGCCUUAAAGAAUCUCAAAAGAGGGCUCCCAAAACUUCAAACUGGGUAGCUUUCUCUGGAGUGGUGGGAUAAACAGAUGUCAGAUCAAUCUUGAGAUUUUGAUAGAAUUAGUAUUGUAAGUCAGGAGUUCGCCAUUUCAUUGAUACAGUCUGUGUGGCCCUUAUUAGUGAAUUUAUCACGGUCAAAAAUUACACUUCAAACCUUCUUUAAUAAGGCUCUGUGGCAACUUAACUGGGAGCUUUCAAGUUGUUAAAGAUUUAAAUUAUAACUUCAUCAGGCUUUUGUAGCUGUUUUAAAUUAAUAUAAUGAGAAAGUGCUUACCUGAUUCUCUUGCUGUCAGUAAUGGGGUCCCAGGAGAAAGUUAAUCUUUUAUUCUUGACUUAGAGAUCUUCUAACUGGGAUAAUGCAGUGCCAAAAGUCCUUCUGCAGAAAGAUCCUGAAAGGUUCCUACUGGCCUGUAACUGAGUUAUGUGAAGUAGCAGUUGUGAAGCUUUUCUCUUCCUCCCUCUCUUUCUUCCUGCCUCAAAAUCCUUUUCUCUGCUCAGAUACAACAUGCUCCUCUGCACUUGAGUCCCUUCACACAGGUACUAAAGGAAUUUACCAUCAACUGGUUUCAGUAGCACACAGCUGCAAAAUAGCAGGAGGAGGCAACCAAGAAUGUGCAGGAGCAGCGCAACUUUUGUACACUGUGAGUGCCUUCUGUUAGCAAGUAUGUCUGUGUAAUGCAUAACUCUCAGUAUGUACUUAGUCACCUAAAAUUAAGUUACCUCACCAAGAAGAGCAGCUUAAUUAGCAAUUGUACCACCCAGCUGGGCUUGUGCUGUUGACCUCCGGCAAGGAGACAGCAGACUUCUCUGCAGGCAUAGCUUCAUUGGCCUUCUCAACAGUUCUGCACUGCAGAGCAGAUCCUUGCUACAGACAUUAGCUAAAUACAUUCAAAUAUUUGCUGUCUGCUGUGGAUACUUAACAUGCUUAUCUGAAAGGUAAGAGAUGCUAACGCACAAGCCAGUAAGACAUGUCAGUCAUUCUGUAGAUCGUUUCAGUCCUGAGCCCCCCCCACCUGGUUACUGCUCUGAAACAUAAAAAGGCUAUAAUGAUUAAAACAGAAGGCUAAUAAUGCAGCUUCCUUAUUCAUUUUCAGUUAGCGACCAAAACACAAAUUUAUUUGGGAAAAAU
rnacentral:lncRNA from 1 species